UAGGGAAUCUUCCGCAAUGGGCGAAAGCCUGACGGAGCAACGCCGCGUGAGUGAUGAAGGUCUUCGGAUCGUAAAACUCUGUUAUUAGGGAAGAACAAAUGUGUAAGUAACUAUGCACGUCUUGACGGUACCUAAUCAGAAAGCCACGGCUAACUACGUGCCAGCAGCCGCGGUAAUACGUAGGUGGCAAGCGUUAUCGGGAAUUAUUGGGCGUAAAGCGCGCGUAGGCGGUUUUUUAAGUCUGAUGUGAAAGCCCACGGCUCAACCGUGGAGGGUCAUUGGAAACUGGAAAACUUGAGUGCAGAAGAGGAAAGUGGAAUUCCAUGUGUAGCGGUGAAAUGCGCAGAGAUAUGGAGGAACACCAGUGGCGAAGGCGACUUUCUGGUCUGUAACUGACGCUGAUGUGCGAAAGCGUGGGGAUCAAACAGG
rnacentral:rRNA from 1 species